rnacentral:rRNA from 1 species
CCUACGGAGGACAGCAGUGGGGAAUAUUGCACAAUGGGGGAAACCCUGAUGCAGCGACGCCGCGUGAGUGAAGAAGUAUUUCGGUAUGUAAAGCUCUAUCAGCAGGCAAGAAAAUGACGGUACCUGACUAAGAAGCCCCGGCUAACUACGUGCAAGCAGCCGCGGUAAUACGGAGGAUGCGAGCGGUACCCGGAUUUAUUGGGUUUAAAGGGUGCGCAGGCGGAUUUUUAAGUAAGCGGUCAAAUCGUGGGGCUCAACCCCAUCCAGCCGUUGAAACUGGGGAUCUAGAGUGUGCGAGAGGUAUGCGGAAUGCGUGGUGUAGCGGUGAAAUGCAUAGAUAUCACGCAGAACCCCGAUUGCGAAGGCAGCAUACCGGUGCACAACUGACGCUCAGGCACGAAAGCGUGGGUAUCGAACAGGAUUAGAUACCCCAGUAGUC